CUCAUUUAACAUUCCAUUCAUUCCGGAGAAAUCCAUUCUACAACCAACGGACAGAUGUGGCCAUUUCUAAUUCAACCAUGCUUUUGUCUUGACAUGGCUUAAUUUUAUUCCUCUAAAAUGUGAAGUUUCUUUAAUUUUAAAUAAAGUGGGGGGUUUGUUGUGGGGUGAAGAACACUAGUGCUGCUAGAAUAUCAUAGCUUCAAGUUGAACAACAUGAAUUCAUGACACUUGUAAGCGUAAGCGCACAAAGAAAUUAAAACCAGGAUUAGUACACACAUUGGUUGUUAAAAUGCAAGGUGAUUGAUACGUAAAAUUGUGAAGCUUGAUAAAGCUUGGACUCCAAAAUGGGUUAAGACUGCACAUCGAAAAGUUUCUAUAAUUAUAAUCUCCAUCCAAUUCCAUUCUCAAAUUGAAUACAAGUUCGAAUACAAAUUAAGCUAAACCGGUGUGCGAAAUAUUCAAUAUUUCUUUUCAUUGACACUAUAUCUACAAGAGUACAUAUAACAAUGCGGAUCGUAAUUGGAAAAGAGUGUGCAAAGAGGUCAGAAAGACGAGAAAAAUUGCGAAAAUGGAGCCGAUAACCUUACAGAUUACUAGAUAAGAUUUAAUUUAAUUUAGUUAGAUUUAAGCUAGGAUAUUAAGGUGUACAAAUUAUUGUAAAUAUUCUUCCUUGCUCUCCACUCGACAUUUCAUUGAUAUGUAGCUACAUUAUCACAACACAAACCACAAAAUCCUUACCAUAAUUUGCCAUAUAUAAAUAGCGUAAAAUAUAUGUGUAUUUUACGCUACAAAUACAUGUACAUUUACGUACAUUGUCUUUCUCUUAAAAUUAAAAAUUUAGGGCUAACUUUCCCAAUUUAGGGAAUUCUUAAUUAGCGUUAUUUUGAAUUUGUAGGUGAAAAACUUGAAGCACAAUUUUUCUGGGUUCUAUGCCAUUCUUAAAACAAUUCCUUUAGCAAAAAAGAAUUUCAUUUUGCGGAGUAGUAUUCACAAAAGUAGUCGGACUUUUGUGUGCCGGAUUUAUUCUUGUGGCCCAGCUGGCGAAACGCCACCUGGUAGAAUCUACCAUCAGUGCAUAAGGGACACACGUUCAGCAAUCCGGAAUUAUAAAAUAAUAUAAUUAUUCUCAUUUUGCAAAACAAAAGAGCUAGUUGCGUAUAUGUAUACAUACACAAUUUCACAAUUGUACGAUAAAAUGAUUCACUCAGAACUCGACUUUUUACGAGUUUUGAUGGUUAAAAUAUGCGGGUCCGCUUCAUGUUUCUAACGUGAUGCUUGUUCUUGGGCCUAAUUACCUUGGCUGGUUUGUGGUUUAUAGUCGGCGUCUUAUAUAUAACAUGCAUUAAACUUAUGCACAUUACAAAUGCCAGGCUACGUUUCUAUUGAAUCUCAAACUGUUUCUGCACUUAUUGGAACCUUUUAGAUGGCACACCUGUGGGACAAUUUCUAUUCAAAGUUGCAAAGCUCGACGUUAUUGUCAUAUUUAAACAGAUUUACAUGGAGAACAGCGUUGUUUGUUUCCCCCAUAGUCGCAAUAGCUACAUAUGUAUGGGUAUGAAUGGGCCACGUUCAUGUUUGUUGGCGUACACGUUACAAAUACCACUCGGGAUCAUUUUAAUGGGUCCAAAAGUGCUUAUAAUCUGCCUCUACAGAUACAUCAUCCGUCAGGUUCAAACCAAACCAGUUCCUGGCCGAAUUGCAAAAAGAAAUUAAGUACUGUGUUGAAUAUCCACAACUAAACGCAAGCAGCAGUUUAUGAGUUGUAAUCAUAGAGCUGUUAUGGAUGGAAUAGACAAGUAUUCCCUCGGCACCCGUGGCAGAACGGCCCAUUUUCGCAACCAGACAAUGGGAAGCCACACCUGGGCCAAUGAUAAUAGGGCAGACAAGAUUGGAGUUGAUUGAUCAAUUUUAGAUCAGUGGUAUCAACUUUACCUCUAAGGAGUAGGGAUUUGGAAAAGAAUUUCGUAUUUUUCUUUGUUCUUUGAUUGUGUCUGCUUAACACGUGUAGCCACAUGUUGUCGCGUUUCACCGAUCUUCACUAGGUUCAGAUCGUUAUUUAUUGGUGGGUUUGACCACAUUGACCUAGCUUUUCUGUAUACGUACACAAUGCCCGGCCCAUCAAGUUCUUGUGGGUUUAAUAUAGCCGGUAACGGUCCUUUGCUCCAGCGAAAUUUUGCAUCGGAAGUAUGGGAGUCUUGCUGCAAUGCUGCAGUUCACUGUAUGUACAAUAAUUCACGAUUAUAAAGAAGCGUACAGAUAUCUACUUGACGGAAAUUAUCUUACAAAUUGUCUAGUAUCGGCGAAUUUUUCCAGUACGAAAUUGGAAGAUUUCUAUAAUAAGAUUUUCUGAUUCUAAAUUCUGAUAAGUUGUGGAAUAAAUCUUAGUGGUAGUGUGCAUGAAAUUUCAAGUCGCUAGCAAGCGAAAUGAUAGCUAUCAUGGCCAUCCAAGAGGAGGAGACCAUCAUAAGAAUAUUCUUCUUGAUUUGUUGACGAAUAGAAUGCACCUUUGUACAUAAGAACGUUUUCGUACAGUAACUUCGCUCUUCGUGGCAUAUAUUCAACUUGGUUGAUAGAUUUAUCCAUCCAAACUUUGUUUGUAAGUGCUUUAACUGCUACUACGUCCGUCCCAUAGGAGCUUGAGAGAGUUGGCCAUGUUGAUCGAUUUCGGGCAUGGAUAUUCUUCAUGUUCAAAAAACCAGUCUUUCCGGGUGCAAUAAUGACGAUUCGCACCAGAGUCAUGAAGUCAAAGAUAACUCAGUUCGACCAGCCAUGUAGGGUCCUUAAUUUAUCAUAAAAUUUCUGUACUUUCUUGGCUGAAUCUUUCAAAGUGCACUAAAUUUUCCAUUGUCACUUUAAUUUGCACAAGUGACAUUGACUGCUUUUAUGUCUUCAAUACGUGGAGCAUUUUUGUAAGUCUCUCGACCUUCUAACUCCCAGAUUUUUAACCUGGCGAAAAGAAGAGCUGAUGUUGUUUCACAAUCUCACUAACGUCCAAGAGUCUCGAAAUUGAGCAAAGGUAUUAAUCAAUAUGCUGAAAAUAAUAUUUGCGACCUACAUCUCAUCAGCAACUACUGCUCCCAUACUUUGUAGUUUAGAUGCAUAAUUUGGAAUUUCUAUCAUAAUUUUAACUAGUGACUUGUCUUGGCUCACCAUGAUUUACUUAGCCAUACUUCUUUUGCUACAAAACUUGUUCGAAUCCCCAUUAAUACUUUGAUACGCGGUGUUCAAUUUGUUUCAAACUUCAUGAUCCGGAUCACAACUAAAUCGACUACACCUCGGCUUCAGUCAAGCACAUAUAUGUAUUUAUGUACAAUGAAGUCAUAGCUUAAUUUUUCCUUUUGAUCCGGUUAAAUUUGAGGCUCGCCUGCAGGUCCAGUGGAUGUUCCUUCAACUUUUUCUAAUAAUUUGUGUUUUUAAUAACGAAACGCAGAAUUCUGUUCAGUAGAACAAAUUACAAAAAUUUGCGUUACGCCAUCGCGGGUGUGACGUAGUAUUCAAUAAAUUCAGCUUUGUUAAUAUACAUAGGUCAGUUUUAUAUAAAUUUCUCUCUUUGGUAGCUUCAAGAAACCUCAAAAUUUUGCAUGUCUAACUUAGCAAGACAUUCAAAAUAGCGUUGAGAUUUUUUAUUUUGUAGUUAAGAAAUCCUCAUGACAAGCUGAUGAAACGUAAUCGUUUGCUUCAAUAAAAUACGUAAAGCUACGACUUAAUAGCAACUAAAGCAAUUAUGAAGGUUGCGUAUGAAUUGGACGCUACUUCCCUACAAAAUGACCCUUCCAGAAGGACGUUUGUAACCUUAAUCGUGAUAUGAUUAAUGGAAAGUUUAGAUAAUUUAUAUAUAACCACUGAUUUACUUGUCAUUGUAAGAUUAUUAAAUCAGUUUAAAUUCAAUCAAAUAUUUUUCCUUCCUGACCGUUAAAGCUUAUUGCUUCUUCAUAUUUCGUGGUAAGGUUCCACAUUAAACUAUCAAUAUUUAUUUCAUUGAGCGGGAGUAGUGACUCCCAUAGUUUAUGAUUGACCUAAGCGGCAUUAGUGCAGCAGUUAAACAAAUAGGAACAUAAUCCAUCCUUAUUUCUACUAGUUUUGUCAUAAAGCUAGCGAUAAAAGUUAGUAAUUACUUAAAUAUUUGAAAUAAAUCUAAACAUCGUUAAUUCAA